GGACAAAUACAGAAUCCGUGUCUGGGAGAAACCUCGUGGCCUGGUCUCCAUUAUUUGAGAUGAGUUACAUCUUGGAGGUGAGGACGUGCCUCGUGGUCUAAAGCUUCGGCACAAGGGCCCAACUGGAAUUCCACUUACGGGACCAUAGCUGUCUGCAGUGCAGGAAGCCAACUAUUAAGGGGAAACAAAAGUGUUCUUAGGAGUCCUGCUGUCACUGUGGAUUGAGCCGGUGAAGCCCUGAGGGAUUUCAUCGCUGAGGUGGAUGGAGAAGCAGCUGGGGGCCUUGGCUGUAAGGACCCCUAAGGGCCUGAUCUUUUGGCCAGAAGGAGAUUAAAAAGAUGCCCCUCAAGAUGGCUGUGCCUGUCAGCUGCAUGGAGCUUCGUUCAAGUAUUUUCUGAGCCUGAUGGAUUUACAGUGAUCUUCAGUGGUCUGGGGAAUAACGCUGGUGGAACCAUGCACUGGAAUGACACACGCCCGGCACAUUUCAGGAUACUAAAAGUGGUUUUAAGGGAGGCUGUGGCUGAAUGCCUCAUGGAUUCUUACAGCUUGGAUGUCCAUGGGGGACGAAGGACUGCAGCUGGCUGAGAGGGUUGAGAUCUCUGUUUACUUAGAUCUCUGCCAACUUCCUUUGGGUCUCCCUAUGGAAUGUAAGACCCCGACUCUUCCUGGUGAAGCAUCUGAUGCACGUUCCAUCCGGCGCUCAGCUGGGCUUGAGCUGACCAUACUCCCUGGAGCCUUCUCCCGAGGUGCGCGGGUGACCUUGGCACAUACAGCCAUCAUGAUGGUACUUUAAGUGGAGGCUGAAUCAUCUCCCCUUUGAGCUGCUUGGCACGUGGCUCCCUUGGUGUUCCCCUUUUACUGCCAGGACACUGAGAUUUGGAGAGGCAACUACACAGCCAGUGGUGGGAAAGCACCUAAUUUACAUCUUCAUGCAUUGAAACUGAUGUCACUCACCUCUCCCCCUUGACCUGGAAGAGCCCCUGAAGGCUGCCAUAGGGGAAAUGAUAACCCAUUCUACAGCUGCUGAAACUGAGGCCCAGGGAGUGUCCAGAGCUUUCUGAGGUCCACCAUGUACUGUUGACCAGGAUGAGUGAUAGCCACCUGGUGACAAUGUUGAAGGUUCUCAUUCAGUAGAGCUGGGUUCAAUUCUGACUUGCCUGACCAGCUGGUGCCUCAUUUUGCUCUAAGUAUUGGAGCCUCCAGCUUUAUUUUCUUUCAGUGGGAAAGACUGUGAGAUUCAGUCCCUCCUUGAAGCUGCGCAUCGACUCUCCUGUCCUGGGUACUCUUUAGGUAGUGGCUGUUCUGAAGUGGCUUUGGAAACCCUGGAAUGAAACUGUCAUGUCCAAUGCUGAGAUUUGUAUAAACUGUCAUUUUAACUGUGAUUAUUAUUCCUUAGGAUUUGAGAAAUAAAAUCUGAGGAGGGAGCAGGACCUGCCUCAGGGCCUCCUCUCCAAGUUGAGUGA
rnacentral:lncRNA from 1 species